rnacentral:rRNA from 1 species
GACGAAGGGGGCUAGCGUUGUUCGGAAUUACUGGGCGUAAAGCGAGUGUAGGUGGUUGUCCAAGUUGGAUGUGAAAGCCUUGAGCUCAACUCAAGAAAUGCAUUCAGGACUGGGUGACUAGAGGACCGGAGAGGAUAGUGGAAUUCCCAGUGUAGUGGUGAAAUACGUAGAGAUUGGGAAGAACACCAGUGGCGAAGGCGGCUAUCUGGACGGUUUCUGACGCUAAGACGCGAAAGCGUGGGGAGCAAACAGG